rnacentral:lncRNA from 1 species
UUUUUGAUACUUUUAGGGGAUAUACUGAUCUUUUUAAAUGGAGCUUCCAACGAAACAGAUUGCAUGCAGAUAUUCCAGUUACCAUAAUUUACUCAGCAAUUCUAGUUGGAAGUACAGAGACAGCAAAUUGAUUAACAGAAAGGAAAACAUGACAUGUAUCCUUUUGCAUAAAUAACCCAGGAUUCCCAGUGGCAGUGCAAUUUGAAUUGGUGCAUGUAUAUAUCCUGCUGGUAUUUAUUUUUGGG